UGUGUUGCGUUCCUCCAGUAUCCCAUCAGCCUCAACACAAACAUCAUUGGCAGCGACGUGGGGUGUAUGAGCUGAGAAGAAUUAUGUCGGAAAAGAAGCAAACAGUGGAUUUGGGAUUGUUAGAAGAGGACGAUGAGUUUGAGGAAUUUAAAGCCGAAGAUUGGACAGGGUUGGAUGAAGAUGAAGAUGCACACGUCUGGGAAGACAACUGGGAUGAUGACAAUGUAGAGGAUGACUUUUCAAAUCAGCUACGAGCGGAACUGGAAAAACAUGGAUACAAGAUGGAGACGGCAUAGCUUUCAGUAAAGCUUGUUAUAAAUGUGAAAGUGACCUGGAGAUUUUGUCUUGAAUUGUAUCCUGUUAUUACAGAAGAGUUGAGGAUUACUGUAGAUAGUAAACAUCCCAUUUUACAACUGUUGCUAUGUUAUUCUCAUUUUUUUUUAUAGAAAAAAACGUUAAGUUAGAUAGCUCUUUUCCCCUAGAAUUGCAAAAUUGAAACAUUUAUGUGCAUGUAUUUUUGUAGACUCCUCUGUACGUACUAAUUCAGUAUUAAAAUAUUAAACAGCCUGUCCCUGCCUUAAAUUUGGUUAUUCUAAUGUAGCCUGGUUUGUCCAUAUGAUUAUGAGUUUGUAAUUUAAAUAGUUGUAGCUAACAAAAUAAUUUCAGGUUUUUUUUUUUUUUU